GACAGUCUCAGUUCGGAUUGAAGGCUGAAAUUCGCCUUCAUGAAGCCGGAAUUGCUAGUAAUGGCAGGUCAGCAUACUGCCGUGAAUACGUUCCCGGGCCUUGUACACACCGCCCGUCACACCAUGAGAGUUGGGAAUACCCGAAGCCUGUGAGCUAACGCAAGAGGCAGCAGUCGAAGGUAGAAUCAAUGAUUGGGGUGAAGUCGUAACAAGGUAUC
rnacentral:rRNA from 1 species